rnacentral:lncRNA from 1 species
AAGCUGCGCUCUGACCACCCCUUGAGCACAUGUCAUCAGGGCCUCCUGAGGCUGUAUCAUCGGUGCGCAUCGUCAUCCUUGGCAAAAUAAACCUUCUAAAUUAACUGAGACAUGUCUCAAAUUUUUGGGGUUCACAGGUCCCACGCUACAUCAACAAUUUCAUUCACUCAUUUACCUAAGCCAUAGUUAUUGAAGACCAUU